GGAAAAAUUAAUAUUGUUAAAAUGCCCAUACUAUCCAAAGCAAUCCACAGAUUCAAUGUAAUCCCUAUCAAAAUUCCAAUGACGUUUUUCACAGGAAUAGAUAAAGCAAUCCUAAAAUUUAUUUGGAACCACAAAAGACCCCGAAUAUCUAAAGCACUCUUGAGGAAGAAAAACAAAGG